rnacentral:lncRNA from 1 species
UAAAUUGUUACUGUGCCUUAAUUUAGACUACUGCCUUAUGGUCUUAGUAUUUUUUUUUUCCUNGCCCGCGCCCGGCUGCGACCUGCGGCCGCCGAGGUACCCCGGCCCUGCUUCCGCUCAGCCGGCAGGGAGCGGCCCGGGGAGGGGGCGGAAAGAAGUCACUCCCCUUCUAAAAGGUGGUGGUGUCCCCCUCCGGCUUUCGUGAGCUCCUCAGUGCCCACACCUGAACCCGGCUUACUGAUCCCUGCCCUUGCUUCUCCUUGACUUGGUUUGAAUUGGAGGGGCAAUACAAGCGUUUUAAUUGAAAUAAGCAGCUCAGGAGUAUUUUAUUGGCGCUCCAGAGCACUGUGUGUCUGUCCCGUCCCCUCCGCCCCCAGCAAUAAACGCAGAGUGGGUGAGUGAAAGGAAGGUGCAGUCCACAUUUCAGGAUUUUUCCUGGACCCUUCCUCCAGUCUGCUGUCCAUCCUGUCAUCGCCUAUGAAACUGUAUGCUAAAGUCUGUCAUUUCUUGUGCAUGAAAAAUGAGCUGGGCAGUACAGCCUGUGAAGAGGAUUUGGCACUUGGAAGAAACCCAACACAUAGCAUGAGAAAGGUCCAUUCCACAAGACACUCCUCAGAGCCCCGGCCCGGCCGCCAGAGGGCAGCCGAGCGGCGCCGCCUUCGGGAGCGGGGCCGGCAGGAAACGGGCGGAGCGGGGCUGGCAGGGUCCCGCAGGGAUUGCCAGCAGUGCCGCUUCCCAAAACCUGCCUCGGUGCCCUGAACCUGUCCUUGACCGAGCUACGGCCCUGCCCUGGAACAGCCCUCUGCAGGUGCCAACACUUCGGUUUCCAAGGAAUGCAGUGCGUGUCGGCAAAAAGGGGAUGUUGCUCACGUGCUUGACUGUGGGCAGACACCACUCAGAGGUGGUUAUCUUUUUGUAGAGUGACCAUUAAAAGAGCCUGUAACACUUUGUGGAUUGUGUAAACUAGACAUGCCCACAGUGAGCCAGGAAUCUUGCCUGAAUCCAUGCUUCAUUCGGAAGUGUCCUAAUUAGAGAGCAAUUAGAGCAAGACAGCCAAAAUUAACUCUGGCAUUUGUAUUAUGAGUAAUCAUGUCACUUUCUGAUUAAGACACCAGUGAAACUUCUCAGAGAAACUUAGAGAGCAAGGAAUAAAUAUUUGAGUAGUUCAGAUAUCA